UCGUAAAUAUAUUAUUGAUUAAUUUAAAGAAAGAGGGAAAAAGAAAAGGUGGGUAACGAAGGUCAUCUAAAUGACCCUGCACACUGAAUCAUAAAUAAGGUAUAAUAAUAACUACUAGUUUUUAUUUGAUGCAACGUACAUUUGAGUUGGUUGAACCAAGACAUUUACUAUCUUGGACAAUGACAUACAAUGACCAGCACUGCCACUUAGACCCCCAAUCCUUUUGUCCCUAUCUAUCAUAAUAAAAUCCCCCCCUCAUCUCCAUCGCCUCCUUCAUCAUCAUCAUCAUUCCUUAAUUUUCUUUCACCUCUCUCUCUAUAUCACUUCUUGAUUUAGCUUCCAUAGCCACAAUAAAUUCACCUAUCAUCAACAUUCUCAUUGUGGUCAAUUUCUUCAAUGAGGUGAAGAUGUUCAUGAUGCAUCAUCGUGAAGAAACAUCCAGCAAGAGAACUAAUUUGAUGGUAAACGUGGCGGCUUCGACUUCCAAAGAUAGUGGCGGUUUUUGUUCAUGCAUGAUAAGGUACUCAGUCUUGAUUCUGGUUCUUCUCACUUUCUCUAUUCUGCUUCUGCCUUUGGUGUUGCCGCCUCUGCCGCCGCCGCCAUUGCUGCUUCUCUUUGUUCCGGUUUUCAUCUUGGGGCUUCUGUUUUUCUUAGCGUUCUCACCCGCCACUAUUCCAAACAUGACUUCAGUUGCUUCUUGAGGAGUAAUUAGUUAGCUGUAAUUACCCUUUUGAAAUCUAUGUAUUUGCAUGUGAGUUUUGGAAAGAAUAAAGCAGUAAUGGAAUCUGAGUUAAUUAAUUUCUUUUCUUUCCUAAGUUUCGUACCUCUGAAGCAUGGGUACGUGAUGUUGGGCCGCGUACCCGUACCGGGUACGUACCCGGUACGAAUACGCUACGGGUACACGUACGGUACGUACCCGGUGCGUACCCGUUUCACAAAAAAAAAAAAAUUCCAGGCCAAAACGACGUCGUUUUGGCCAUUAAAAAAAAAAAGAAAACCCAAAACACGUGAAAACUGAAAACGCAGAAAAAGAAACAGAACCUGAGAAGAGGUUCAAGGGUUCACGAACGGAACCAGAGAAGGAAACCAGCGCCGCCCGUCCUCUCCUCCGCCGUCCUCUCCAGCGUGCGCCGCCUCUCCACCGCCGGCCACCACCGCAGCUCUUCAAUUUCAUACAUGUUGACUUGGUGUGCUAAAGACUUGUACGAACCAGCGGUUGUUGAGACCCUAGGCUUGCGUUGGUGCCAUUGGCUAGAAACCUCAGCUUUCAAGAAUUCGAAGUUGAAACUGACUGACUGCCUGCAACUGUACCCAACUUGAAACAGACAGCCCCCUUAAGAACUAUCUAGCAUCGCUAGUGCAGGUUUGCAAAUUUCUCUCCUCUUUCUUUAGGAUUUGUAAGUUAACUAAUUGACGUAGAACAACCAAUGUUGUUGUUUGUUAUAUUGCCUAUAUGACUUUUGAUUACGAGGAUCAUGUUUGGGUAGAAUCUGAUCAUCCUAAUACAGCCUUAUUGAUCCAUCAGGAUGCUCUUCUUUGUACUGGUAUGGGGUUUCUACCUUCUAAUUAAUGUAAUAUGAAAAUUUUGUUGUUGUCAAAUGUUAUUUAUUACUAGUAAAUAAGUCCAUUGACCAAGGCUUGAAUAUGAUCACUCACCUUUCAUUACCCUAAGAGCAUCUCCAAUGGUAGGAACUUAUUUUGGGACUUAACUCAAUUCUUGUGGGCCCAAAUUGCCACAUAGGAUUUAAGACACUCAUAAGGUCUUCAUGCACAUUUCACUCUAGUGGUUGAGAUCUUAUUUUACUUUUGUCUGGACCCACAGUACCCAAUAUAUUUAUAUUAUUUAUUUCCCUCCCCAAUUUUCACUUUGAUUAUGAUAUUGAAGGAGAGAGAAAAAAAAUAUUAUUUUAUUUAAGAUCCCACAUUUGAGAGUACCCGAGCUAAGGCACGGACAUGCCAUGUAGGAUAGUUCCAGUGGUGAGAUCUAAUAAGAUCCGGAUCUUAUUUUAAAGUCCUAAAAUAAAGACUCCAUUGGAGAUGCUCUAAGCUCAACCAAGUGAGUUACCGUUCCAAUACUGUAAAAGGGCGGACUUAUCAAACAAAACAAAAAACAAGAAAAAGACUUGUAAUUGUAAUUUGUAACCCACUAGAUGUAAAAGUAAUAGAAUUGCUGAGAAUGAAACACAUUAACUGUACGUCGUCCACAUUUACAGCUGAAGUAGCUAGUUUCAUUCUUUUGAGGCAUCUUUAUUGGUAUUGAAUUUAAUGUGUACUUUUUAGUUACCUUUUACCCAUCUCGGUAAUACUGAUACUGAUUCUUCAUUUCUUUAUGUGGUUGAAAUUUGCUGAUCCAGAAAUUAAAGUGUAUGCCUUUGAUUUGAAUUGAAUUCCUCUGCAUGCACACAGUAUUCUGAGUAGCUAGCUAGCUUUCCAGAAAUACGAAAGGAUCCAAUGUAGCGUGCCAAAUCGGGAGAAUGUAUAAUCAUUGUUUCUUUCACCGUUGUUUUACCACUUGUCCCUAGCUACAUCCUAAUGAUCUUUUCAUUGGCUAUAGAGGUUAAACGAGUAUUGCUUCAUCCACAGUAGCUUUUCGAUCCUUUCGAUCAUAUUUCCAUUUGUAUCUCUUUUCUAUAAGGUUAAACGAGUGUUGAUUGUUAACGCAACAAAAUUCGGGUUAAAAAUAUAUUAUUUUUGGUUUCUAAA